rnacentral:rRNA from 1 species
UACGUAGGGUGCGAGCGUUAAUCGGAAUUACUGGGCGUAAAGCGUGCGCAGGCGGCUUCGCAAGUCAGACGUGAAAUCCCCGGGCUUAACCUGGGAAUGGCGUUUGAAACUACGGAGCUGGAGUGUGGCAGAGGGAGGUAGAAUUCCGCGUGUAGCAGUGAAAUGCGUAGAUAUGCGGAGGAACACCGAUGGCGAAGGCAAUCCCCUGGGCCUGCACUGACGCUCAUGCACGAAAGCGUGGGGAGCAAACAGG